UACAGAGGGGGCAAGCGUUGUUCGGAAUUACUGGGCGUAAAGGGCUUGUAGGUGGCCAACUAAGUCAGACGUGAAAUCCCACGGCUUAACCGAGGAACUGCGUCUGAUACUGGAUGGCUUGAGUGUGGGAGAGGGAUGCGGAAUUCCAGGUGUAGCGGUGAAAUGCGUAGAUAUCUGGAGGAACACCGGUGGCGAAGGCGGCAUCCUGGACCAUGACUGACACUGAAAAGCGAAAGCCAGGGGAGCAAACGGG
rnacentral:rRNA from 1 species